GUUGGGUAGGGGAGCGUUCUGUAAGCCUGUGAAGGUGUGUCGUGAGGCAUGCUGGAGGUAUCAGAAGUGCGAAUGCUGACAUAAGUAACGAUAAAGCGGGUGAAAAGCCCGCUCGCCGGAAGACCAAGGGUUCCUGUCCAACGUUAAUCGGGGCAGGGUGAGUCGACCCCUAAGGCGAGGCCGAAAGGCGUAGUCGAUGGGAAACGGGUUAAUAUUCCCGUACUUGGUGUUACUGCGAAGGGGGGACGGAGAAGGCUAUGUUGGCCGGGCGACGGUUGUCCCGGUUUAAGCGUGUAGGUGUGUGUUCCAGGUAAAUCCGGUUCACUUUAACACUGAGGCGUGACGACGAGGCACUACGGUGCUGAAGCAACAAAUGCCCUGCUUCCAGGAAAAGCCUCUAAGCAUCAGGUAACAUCAAAUCGUACCCCAAACCGACACAGGUGGUCAGGUAGAGAAUACCAAGGCGCUUGAGAGAACUCGGGUGAAGGAACUAGGCAAAAUGGUGCCGUAACUUCGGGAGAAGGCACGCUGACACGUAGGUGAAGUGAUUUACUCAUGGAGCUGAAGUCAGUCGAAGAUACCAGCUGGCUGCAACUGUUUAUUAAAAACACAGCACUGUGCAAACACGAAAGUGGACGUAUACGGUGUGACGCCUGCCCGGUGCCGGAAGGUUAAUUGAUGGGGUCAGCGCAAGCGAAGCUCCUGAUCGAAGCCCCGGUAAACGGCGGCCGUAACUAUAACGGUCCUAAGGUAGCGAAAUUCCUUGUCGGGUAAGUUCCGACCUGCACGAAUGGCGUAAUGAUGGCCAGGCUGUCUCCACCCGAGACUCAGUGAAAUUGAACUCGCUGUGAAGAUGCAGUGUACCCGCGGCAAGACGGAAAGACCCCGUGAACCUUUACUAUAGCUUGACACUGAACAUUGAGCCUUGAUGUGUAGGAUAGGUGGGAGGCUUUGAAG
rnacentral:rRNA from 6 species